GUACAAUAGAGCUUAUAGGCUAAUGAGAAGACAGGAAGAAACAACAGGAACACAUAUAGCUGGAAUGCAGAUGGGAUCUGUGCUACUUACGCUAGCCAUGGGAUGAUUAGAACAAGAUAAGAGACAUGAGGAAGACUUCUUCAAGGAGGGCAAGUAGAGCUGCAGCUGUCUGGCGCCACUGUAAUGCUGUCUCCUCCUCUGAGUGAGUUCAUCCUGGAAACAUUUUCUCCCAUAAGACAUGCACAGGUCUUACGUUUACAUGUUUCACUGAAAGAAAUUUGAUUCCACUGCUGGGAUGACAAGGAAGACUGAAGAAACCUAAUCCUAGGUGCUGCCACUGGGACAAACAAGAAGCACCAGACACAGUGCUGUUUUAGGGUGGGGCAGAAUUAUGCUGAGGGAAAAGUUAUUAUCACUCUUUAAGGCCAAGGAAACCACAAUUUUUAAAGAAGCUUCUAGAAAUUCUACCCAGUAGAAAAUAAAGAUAAACUUCUGUAAGGAA
rnacentral:lncRNA from 1 species